rnacentral:rRNA from 1 species
AACCUGGUUGAUCCUGCCAGUAGUCAUAUGCUUGUCUUAAAGAUUAAGCCAUGCAUGUCUAAGUAUAAGCACUUGUACGGCGAAACUGCGAAUGGCUCAUUAAAUCAGUUAUAGUUUAUUUGAUAGUAACUUACUACUUGGAUAACCGUGGUAAAUCUAGAGCUAAUACAUGCGUAAAAUCCCGACUGGGAACGGAAGGGAUGUAUUUAUUAGAUUAAAACCAAUGCGGGUUCCUUCGGGGAUCUGGUUAUAUGGUGAAUCAUGAUAACUUUGCGGAUCGCACGGCCUCGCGCUGGGGACGGUUCAUUCAAAUUUCUGCCCUAUCAACUUUUGAUGGUAGUAUAGAGGACUACCAUGGUGGUAACGGGUAACGGAGAAUCAGGGUUUGAUUCCGGAGAAGGAGCCUGAGAAACGGCUACUACUUCCAAGGAAGGCAGCAGGCGCGCAAAUUACCCAAUCCCGACACGGGGAGGUAGUGRCAAAAAAUWACAAUACCGGUCUUAUACAAGUCCGGUAAUUGGAAUGAGUACAAUCUAAACCCCUUAACGAGUAUCAAUUGGAGGGCAAGUCUGGUGCCAGCAGCCGCGGUAAUUCCAGCUCCAAUAGCAUAUAUUAAAGUUGUUGCAGUUAAAAAGCUCGUAGUUGGAUUUUGGUACAGGAGGGGCUUGGCCCGCCAGGAAAUGGUGUGUGCUGGUCGCUCGGUACUCCCUACUGGAUACUCGCCGCUGCCGUUCAUUCGGUGGCGGUCCCGGUGCCGCGAGGCGCCGGGUGCGGGCGGGGUCUGACGCGGGGGAUGUGGACGAGUUACGCCUUCGGGGGUGGCUCGGACUGCCCUCGCGGCUUCCCGUCGGUAGGGUUCCAGUUAGUUUACUUUGAGUAAAUUAGAGUGUUCAAAGCAGGCGUUUUGCUUGAAUACUAUUAGCAUGGGAUAAUGGAACAGGACGUUGGUUCUAUUUUGUUGGUUUCCGGAACUAAUGUAAUGAUUAAAAGGGAUAGUUGGGGGCAUUAGUAUUUAAUUGUCAGAGGUGAAAUUCUUGGAUUUAUGAAAGACUAACUUCUGCGAAAGCAUUUGUCAAGGAUGUUUUCAUUAAUCAAGAACGAAAGUUAGGGGAUCGAAGACGAUCAGAUACCGUCGUAGUCUUAACCAUAAACUAUGCCGACCAGGGAUUGGGAGACGUUAUCAUGACUCCCCCAGCACCUUACGAGAAAUCACAAGUCUUUGGGUUCUGGGGGGAGUAUGGUCGCAAGGCUGAAACUUAAAGGAAUUGACGGAAGGGCACCACCAGGUGUGGAGCCUGCGGCUUAAUUUGACUCAACACGGGAAAACUUACCAGGUCCAGACACAGUUAGGAUUGACAGAUUGAGAGCUCUUUCUUGAUUCUGUGGGUGGUGGUGCAUGGCCGUUCUUAGUUGGUGGAGUGAUUUGUCUGGUUAAUUCCGAUAACGAACGAGACCUCAGCCUACUAAUUAGUUAUGCUAAUUCUUACGCCGUGGGUCCCGUCGCGCGCCCCCUCACGGGGGAACGCGGUGGGAACCUAGUAUUAAUUGGUAGCAACUUCUUAGAGGGACACUUGGUGUCUAACCAAGGGAAGUUUGAGGCAAUAACAGGUCUGUGAUGCCCUUUAGAUGUUCUGGGCUGCACGCGCGCUACACUGAUGCAAUCAACAAGUCUAUCACCUUGGCCGACAGGUCUGGGUAAACUUUUGAAAUUGCAUCGUGCUGGGGAUCGAUGAUUGUAAUUAUUCAUCGUCAACGAGGAAUACCUAGUAAGCGCAAGUCAUCAGCUUGCGUUGAUUACGUCCCUGCCCUUUGUACACACCGCCCGUCGCUCCUACCGAUGAAUGGUCCGGUGAGCACUUAGGAUUUUGGGCAUAUGCCUUGCUGGCUUCGGCUGGUAGGUUUGUCUGAGAGAAUUUGUGCAAACCUUGCCAUUUAGAGGAAGGAGAAGUCGUAACAAGGUAUCCGUAGGUGAACCUGCAGAAGGAUCA